UACGUAGGGUGCGAGCGUUAAUCGGAAUUACUGGGCGUAAAGCGUGCGCAGGCGGUUUUGUAAGCCAGAUGUGAAAUCCCCGGGCUUAACCUGGGAACUGCGUUUGAAACUACAAGGCUAGAGUGUGGCAGAGGGGGGGUGGAAUUCCACGUGUAGCAGUGAAAUGCGUAGAUAUCUGGAGGAACACCGGUGGCGAAGGCGACAUCCUGGACCGGUAUUGACGCUGAGGCGCGAAAGCCAGGGGAGCAAACGGG
rnacentral:rRNA from 1 species